GGAAGGAUCAUCACUGUAUACCGUCCAUUUGAUCUGGGAAAAACCUCAUUCACUAAAUUAUGAAGAGUCAAAUCUUUAUAUAAAGAAUGAGCCCAGUCAAACCUUUAGUGCGAUUUGUUGAAGUUCUCAAUAGGGAGAUUUUAUAUUUCCCUAUUGUGAUUAAACUCAUGGAAUUAUCGAUAAUUAUUAAAUCAAUUAUACAUUGUAUAAUUGAAUAUCAUUUGAUUUAAAAAAAACAAAAUCUUAUGACAACUUUUGCCAGUGGAUACCUUGGCUCUGAGAUCGAUGAAGACCGCAGCAAACUGCGAUAAGUCAUGUGAAUUGCAGAAUUCCGUGAAUCAUGUCAGAUGUUGAACGCAAAUUGCGCCCCGGUGUUAAACUUGGGCAUGUCUAUUCGAGUGUCUUCAAUAAAUAAUCAUAAAUUGAUACUAAUCUUUAUUAUUAUUAAUUUAUGGAGUUGGAAGAUCAACAAAUUUAUUAUUUUUUGAUAUUCUUAAAUUGAAUUGGAGGCAAUACUCUUGUGAUCAUUAUGAAUCGUUUCAUUAACUAAAAAACGACGUCUUGAUUUGGUGAUGUGUGGAUUAACUUGUUUAAUUCCCUCCGCUGUUGAAUUAAGUGAAUUUAUUUUACAAUACUCCAGUGUGGGAUAUCCCGUUUCGAGAGACUGUUUAAUCUUAUUGAUGAACUACAAUUUCGAUUGUUUUCAAAUGUGGAGAGUAUAUAACAGCGUCCUUAGUCUUUUAUUAGAUUUCGUCCAAGAAAUCAAGACAAAUUAGAAUGAUGAUGAAAAUUCAUCAUUAUUCUUUUUUUAUUAAUCUCGACCUCGAAUUAGGCAAGACUACGCGCUGAACUUAAGCAUAUUACUAAGCGCAGGAAAAGAAAAUAACAAUGAUUCCCUCAGUAACGGCGAGUGAAGCGGGAACAGCUCAAGCUUAAAAUCUGGGUUUCUAAUGAAGCUCCGAAUUGUAGUUUUUGGAUUGGCAAUUGCGGUGUAUGAAGUUUUUUGGGCGUAAGUUCUUUGGAACAAGGCAUCAGAGAGGGUGAGAAUCCCGUAUGCAGCCUGGCCGAGUACACAAUACGCAUUUGUCUUUCUACGAGUCGGUAUGAUUGGGACUUCAUACCAAAGUAGGAGGUAGUUCUCUUCUAAAGCUAAAUAUAACUCAGAGACCGAUAGCGAAGAAGUAGUGUGAACGAAAGGUGAAAAGAACUUUGAAAAAAAGGUCAAAAGUACUUGAAGCUGGUAAAAGGGAACGAUAUGAUGGCAGUGAUUGCGCGCAGCAACUCACUCUGUUUGCUAAAGACAGUGCAGGAUGCACGGUGGUGUACGCCCCGGAGCUUUUUGAUUGUUGAGGUAAACGGAGGUACUUUGUUGUGUCGCGAGUCAACAUCAGUUCGGUUUGUCAAUGGAGAAAGAUAGCUGGAAGGUGGGUUGCUCUUUCGGGAGUGACUGUUAUAACCGGCUGUUGCAUACAUUGGCCUGGACUGUGGAAGAAAACACGUGCCUCGGCGAGGAAGUUGGUGGACCCGGGUGACUGGAAAUAUGCGUCUGCAUGCAGGUCGUGUUUCCGAGUUAUCUGGCAAAAGCUGACCCCAUCAGCGUGUUCGGCAUGUUGACGAAAUGGCUUCAUAUCACCCGUCUUGAAACACGGACCAAGGAGACUAUUAUGUCUGCAAGCAUUCGAUUGGAAAAAUCAUAGUGCGUAAUGAAAGUAAAUGAUGCGAAGCCGCAAGGUUGCAGCAUCGACCGCCCAUUCUCAAGAUUGGUGUGCGUCAGAGUAGACAUGAUGGGACCCGAAAGAUGGUGAACUUACCGCGCGCAGGGUGAAGCCAGAGGAAACUCUGGUGGAGGCUCGUAUAAGAUACUGACGUGCAAAUCGUUCUUCUGACGUGCGUUAAGGGGCGAAAGACUAAUCGAACCAUCUAGUAGCUGGUUCCCAC
rnacentral:misc_RNA from 1 species